ACCUCGCGACCUGUGUCAGCAGAGCCGCCCUGCACCACCAUGUGCAUCAUCUUCUUUAAGUUUGAUCCUCGCCCUGUUUCCAAAAACGCGUACAGGUAACCCCCUCGCUCUGCAUCUGCUGCGCCCUGCAGGGUCCUGGGUGCCCAGCCAGUUCUCAUGCCACCCAAGCUGCUGUGUGCAGGAAGGUGUGUGGGCCAGGACGGGGCUGCACAGGCCUGGCACUGCCCUCCAGGACAGGGUCACUCAGUGUGGGAUGCUGUCAGAAUGCCUCUCGGGGCGGGGACUCCAGUCAAUGUACAAAGACGUGAAGACUCAGCCACAGAAGGCAGCCACAGGCUCAUCUUGGCAGCCAACAGGGAUGAAUUCUACAGCCGACCCUCCAAGUUAGCUGACUUCUGGGGGAACAACAACGAGAUCCUCAGUGGGCUGGACAUGGAGGAAGGCAAGGAAGGAGGCACAUGGCUGGGCAUCAGCACACGUGGCAAGCUGGCAGCACUCACCAACUACCUGCAGCCGCAGCUGGACUGGCAGGCCCGAGGGCGAGCACAGCAAAGGGAGACGUCAUUUGCUACUAUGGGAACCGAGGGGAGCCUGAUCCUAUCGUUUUGACGCCAGGCAGCUGCCAGACCCGGCCAUCGAGGACCAGGGUGGGGAGUACGUGCAGCCCAUGCUGAGCAAGUACGCGGCUGUGUGCGUGCGCUGCCCUGGCUACGGCACCAGAACCAACACUAUCAUCCUGGUAGAUGCGGACGGCCACGUGACCUUCACUGAGCGUAGCAUGAUGGACAAGGACCUCUCCCACUGGGAGACCAGAACCUAUGAGUUCACACUGCAGAGCUAACCCCACCUCUGGGCCUGGCCAGUGGGCUCCUGGGGGGCCCUGCCUUGAGGGGCACUGUGGACAGGAAACCUUCCUUUGCCAUACUGCAUUGCACUGCCCGUGGCUUGGCCAGCAUCCCCCGGAUCAGGGCCCUGUGGUUUGCGUGUUACCCAUCUGUGUCCCCAUGCCCAGUUCAGGGUCUGCCUUUAUGCCAGUGAGGAGCAGCAGAGUCUGAUACUAGGUCUAGGACCGGCCGAGGUAUACCAUGAACAUGUGGAUACACCUGAGCCCACUCUUGCACAUGUACACAGGCACUCACAUGGCACACACAUACACUCCUGCGUGUGCACAAGCACACACAUGCAAGCCAUAUACAUGGACACCGACACAGGCACAUGUACGUGCACAGGUGUGCUACACAUGUGCACACAUGCACAGUUGCACAGACACACACACACAGGUGCACACACACGAUGCCGAACAAGGCAGAAGGGCGACUCUCACCUCUCAUGUGCUUCUGGCCAGUAGGUCUUUGUUCUGGUCCAACGACAGGAGUAGGCUUGUAUUUAAAAGCGGCCCCUCCUCUCCUGUGGCCACAGAACACAGGCGUGCUUGGACUCUUGACAAGCAGACCUGCUCCUGCAGAGGAGACAGCCACAUUUGGAAUUGGGCACCGAGAAGACCUGAGAAAAACCCACUCUCUCUUUUUUUUUUUUUUGAGACGGAGUCUUGCUCUGUCACCCAGGCUGGAGUGCAGUGGCACGAUCUCGGCUCACUGCAACCUCCGCCUCCCAAGUUCAAGCAAUUCUCCUGCCCCAGCCUCCUGAUUAGCUGGGAUUACAGGCGUGUGCCACCAUGCCCAGCUAAUUUUUGUGUUUUUAGUAGAGACGGGGUUUCACCAUGUUGGUCAGGCUGGUCUUGAACUCCUGACGUGGUGAUCCACCUGCCUCGGCCUCCCAAAGUGCUGGGAUUACAGGCGUGAGCCACCACGCCUGGCCGAAAAACCCACUCUCAUAACAGAAGUGCAGACUCAUUGCUAGAUUCAGUGCCCUUGAGUGUGCCAGAGGUCCUCUGUGUUUGAGACAAUCCUGUGUGUGCCAGGAGGCUCCGUGUGCACCAGGGGCUCUCAGAAUCCCGCUUACCCAGCUGGAGACCAUGCCUCUGGCAGCCCCAUCUCAGCCAGCCCUGCUCUCUCCCUCUUCCCUCCAGGUGAGGCAAACUUCAUAGGAAUCUGUACCUGAAUGUGAGCUCCUGAUAAUAAAACUCUGAGGCUUUGGUGAGCGCA
rnacentral:lncRNA from 1 species